AUCAUUACCGAGUGAGGGCCCUCUGGGUCCAACCUCCCACCCAUGUCUAUCGUACCUUGUUGCUUCGGCGGGCCCGCCGUUUCGACGGCCGCCGGGGAGGCCUUGCGCCCCCGGGCCCGCGCCCGCCGAAGACCCCAACAUGAACGCUGUUCUGAAAGUAUGCAGUCUGAGUUGAUUAUCGUAAUCAGUUAAAACUUUCAACAACGGAUCUCUUGGUUCCGGCAUCGAUGAAGAACGCAGCGAAAUGCGAUAAGUAAUGUGAAUUGCAGAAUUCAGUGAAUCAUCGAGUCUUUGAACGCACAUUGCGCCCCCUGGUAUUCCGGGGGGCAUGCCUGUCCGAGCGUCAUUGCUGCCCUCAAGCACAGCUUGUGUGUUGGGCCCCCGUCCCCCUCUCCCGGGGGACGGGCCCGAAAGGCAGCGGCGGCACCGCGUCCGGUCCUCGAGCGUAUGGGGCUUUGUCACCUGCUCUGUAGGCCCGGCCGGCGCCAGCCGACACCCAACUUCAUUUUUCUAAGGUUGACCUCGGAUCAGGUAGGGAUACCCGCUGAACUUAAGCAUAUCAAUAAGCGGAGGA
rnacentral:rRNA from 1 species